rnacentral:lncRNA from 1 species
ACAGAAGAAGUAAAAUUGCCACAAAGUGAAUUGCUUGCCUAGCAUGCUGCAGGAAAAUCUCUAAUGUAAAAUUGUGGCUUAUGAAUGAUUAUUUGUCGCUGAACUCCAGGACACUGCCCUGUGGAAACGACGGACAUCUAAACUUGUUUGCUGCUGCUUUAGGAUUCGCUGACUGUUAACGCGACGGCACCUCUGCUGCUUCUUAAAGGUCACGCUGUCACAUAAUUCUGUUGCAGAGCCUCCCACACCGAAGGGGCAUGGAGGCUGGACACGGAGACACCAACUGCAAGAAUUCUGAUGAGUCUCAGGUACCCUUCCCAGCUGCCAUGGAGUGAUCCUGCCCUGAUGUUUCUGCUUUGGAGCCUACUGACCAUGGACUGAAAUCUUUGAAACUGUGACCCAAAAUAAAUCUUUCUGUCUUUAAGUUGUAGAUGUCAGGUAAUUUGGCCAGGCAAUGGAAAGCUGGCCAACCCAGUAAUAUACUCAAUCCUGAACCAGAAUCAAGGCUAAUUA